rnacentral:rRNA from 1 species
GACGAACGCUGGCGGCGUGCUUAACACAUGCAAGUCGAGCGGAGAGGCGAACGGGUGAGUAAAGCGUGAGUAACUGCCCCCCUCUCUGGGAUAAAAGUUGGAAACGGCUGCUAAUACCGGAUAGUGGGGGAUGACUCGCGUCCUAUCAGCUUGUUGGUGGGGUAGUGGCCUACCAAGGCGACGACGGGUAGCCGGCCUGGGAGGUCGACCGGCCACAUUGGGCUGAGGUACGGCCCAAACGCCUACGGGAGGCAGCAGUGGGGAAUCUUGCACAAUGGGGCAAACCCUGAGGCAGCAACGCCGCGUGCGGGAUGACGGCCUUCGGGUUGUAAACCGCUUUCAGUCAUUACGCGGUAGUGGCAGAAGAAGCACCGGCUAACUUCGUGCCAGCCGCCGCGGUAAUUC